GACGAACGCUGGCGGCGUGCUUAACACAUGCAAGUCGAACGGAAAGGCCCUGCUUUUGUGGGGUGCUCGAGUGGCGAACGGGUGAGUAACACGUGAGUAAACUGCCCUUGACUUUGGGAUAACUUCAGGAAAAUGGGGCUAAUACCGGAUAGGAGCUCCUGCAGCACGGUGGGGGUUGGAAAGAUUCGGCGGUUGGGGCUGGACUCGCGGCUUAUCAGCCUGUUGGUGGGGUAGUGGCUUACCAAGGUUUUGACGGGUAGCCGGCCUGGGAGGGUGACCGGCCACAUUGGGACUGAGGUACGGCCCAGACUCCUACGGGAGGCAGCAGUGGGGAAUAUUGCGCAAUGGGCGGAAGCCUGAUGCAGCAACGCCGCGUGCGGGAUGACGGCCUACGGGGUGUGAACCACUUUCGCCUGAGACGAAGCGUGAGUGACGGUAAUGGGUAAAGAAGCACCGGCUAACUACGUG
rnacentral:rRNA from 1 species